rnacentral:rRNA from 1 species
GGAUUACCCGCUGAGUUUAAGCAUAUCAA